rnacentral:rRNA from 1 species
GACGAACGCUGGCGGCGUGCUUAACACAUGCAAGUCGAACGAAGAGCGAUGGAAGCUUGCUUCUAUCAAUCUUAGUGGCGAACGGGUGAGUAACGCGUAAUCAACCUGCCCUUCAGAGGGGGACAACAGUUGGAAACGACUGCUAAUACCGCAUACGAUCUAAUCUCGGCAUCGAGGAUAGAUGAAAGGUGGCCUCUACAUUUAAGCUAUCACUGAAGGAGGGGAUUGCGUCUGAUUAGCUAGUUGGAGGGGUAACGGCCAACCAAGGCGAUGAUCAGUAGCCGGUCUGAGAGGAUGAACGGCCACAUUGGGACUGAGACACGGCCCAGACUCCUACGGGAGGCAGCAGUGGGGAAUCUUCCGCAAUGGACGAGAGUCUGACGGAGCAACGCCGCGUGAGUGAUGACGGCCUUCGGGUUGUAAAGCUCUGUUAAUCGGGACGAAAGGCCUUCUUGCGAAUAGUGAGAAGGAUUGACGGUACCGGAAUAGAAAGCCACGGCUAACUACGUG